UCGAGGAUCUUCGGCAAUGGGCGCAAGCCUGACCGAGCGACGCCGCGUGUGCGAUGAAGGCCUUCGGGUUGUAAAGCACUUUGGCGGGGGAGGAAAGCCCGAAAGGGUCUGACCUAUCCCGAGAACAAGCACGGGCUAAGUUCGUGCCAGCAGCCGCGGUAAGACGAACCGUGCGAACGUUGUUCGGAAUCACUGGGCUUAAAGGGCGCGUAGGCGGACGACCAAGUCGGGGGUGAAAUCUUUCGGCUCAACCGGAAAAUAGCCUUCGAUACUGGCCGUCUGGAGGGAGGUAGGGGCGUGUGGAACUUCCGGUGGAGCGGUGAAAUGCGUUGAUAUCGGAAGGAACUCCGGUGGCGAAAGCGACACGCUGGAUCUCAUCUGACGCUGAGGCGCGAAAGCCAGGGGAGCGAACGGGAUUAGAUACCCCCGUAGUCC
rnacentral:rRNA from 1 species